UCCGAAGGGGGCUAGCGUUGCUCGGAAUUACUGGGCGUAAAGCGCACGUAGGCGGCUUUCUAAGUCGGGGGUGAAAUCCUGGAGCUCAACUCCAGAACUGCCUUCGAUACUGGAAAGCUCGAGUCCGGGAGAGGUGAGUGGAACUGCGAGUGUAGAGGUGAAAUUCGUAGAUAUUCGCAAGAACACCAGUGGCGAAGGCGGCUCACUGGCCCGGUACUGACGCUGAGGUGCGAAAGCGUGGGGAGCAAACAGG
rnacentral:rRNA from 1 species